AAACGACUCUCGACAACGGAUAUCUCGGCUCUCGCAUCGAUGAAGAACGUAGCGAAAUGCGAUACUUGGUGUGAAUUGCAGAAUCCCGUGAACCAUCGAGUCUUUGAACGCAAGUUGCGCCCGAAGCCAUUAGGUUGAGGGCACGUCUGCCUGGGUGUCACGU
rnacentral:rRNA from 1 species